rnacentral:tRNA from 1 species
GCCCUAAUGGCGGAAUUGGCAGACGCGCAACGUUCAGGUCGUUGUUUGGACUUCCAAGUAUGGGUUCGAAUCCCUUUUAGGGCA